rnacentral:misc_RNA from 1 species
AAGGAUCAUUACUGGUUUAGAUCAGUCUGUUCUAAUUCAUUAGGCUGGCUGUAUUUCCUUUCUACCCUUAUGUUUUCUUGCUUCUAGUUCCAUUGAUUUGGUUCUAGUUCUUUUUUUUUACUUACCCUCAAUAAAUGCUUUGGCAAAUCUUUGCCUUGCUGGUUUGAUUAUUAUAAUCUUAGAAAAAAACUUUCAACAAUGGAUCUCUUGGUUCUG